rnacentral:rRNA from 1 species
CAGCAGCCGCGGUAAAACGGAGGGUGCAAGCGUUAAUCGGAAUUACUGGGCGUAAAGCGCACGCAGGCGGUCUGACAAGUCAGAUGUGAAAUCCCCGGGCUUAACCUGGGAACUGCAUUUGAAACUGUCAGGCUGGAGUCUUGUAGAGGGGGGUGGAAUUCCAGGUGUAGCGGUGAAAUGCGUAGAGAUCUGGAGGAAUACCGGUGGCGAAGGCGGCCCCCUGGACAAAGACUGACGCUCAGGUGCGAAAGCGUGGGGAGCAAACAGGAUUAGAUACCCGGGUAGUCCCUGUCUCUUAUAC